GACGAACGCUGGCGGCGUGCUUAACACAUGCAAGUCGAACGGAAAGGCCCUGCUUUUGUGGGGUGCUCGAGUGGCGAACGGGUGAGUAACACGUGAGUAACCUGCCCUUGACUUUGGGAUAACUUCAGGAAACUGGGGCUAAUACCGGAUAGGAGCUCCUGCUGCAUGGUGGGGGUUGGAAAGUUUCGGCGGUUGGGGAUGGACUCGCGGCUUAUCAGCUUGUUGGUGGGGUAGUGGCUUACCAAGGCUUUGACGGGUAGCCGGCCUGAGAGGGUGACCGGCCACAUUGGGACUGAGAGACGGCCCAGACUGCUACGGGAGGCAGCAGUGGGGAAUAUUGCACAAUGGGCGGAAGCGUGAUGCAGCAACGCCGCGUGCGGGAUGACGGCCUUCGGGUUGUAAACCGCUUUCGCCUGUGACGAAGCGUGAGUGACGGUAAUGGGUAAAGAAGCACCGGCUAACUACGUG
rnacentral:rRNA from 1 species